rnacentral:rRNA from 1 species
UACGAAGGGGGCUAGCGUUGCUCGGAAUCACUGGGCGUAAAGGGUGCGUAGGCGGGUCUUUAAGUCAGGGGUGAAAUCCUGGAGCUCAACUCCAGAACUGCCUUUGAUACUGAAGAUCUUGAGUUCGGGAGAGGUGAGUGGAACUGCGGGUGUAGAGGUGAAAUUCGUAGAUAUUCGCAAGAACACCAGUGGCGAAGGCGGCUCACUGGCCCGAUACUGACGCUGAGGCACGAAAGCGUGGGGAGCAAACAGG